rnacentral:misc_RNA from 1 species
CAUCAUCUCUCAGGUGAACAACCAGAUAUCUUAAGCUGGGAGGGUAGACUUCGAGUAGCCCUUGAGGCAGCACAAGGAUUGGAGUAUCUUCACAAUGGUUGCAAGCCACCAAUUGUACACAGAGACGUGAAGACUACAAACAUUUUAUUGGACGCUAAAUUCCAAGCCAAACUAUCUGAUUUUGGGCUGUCAAGAAUUUUUCCAAAUGAAGAUGAUUCUCAUGUGACAACAACCAUUGCUGGCACUCCAGGCUACCUUGAUCCCGAGUACAACAUAACAACCUGGUUGACUGAAAAAAGCGAUGUUUAUAGCUUUGGAGUUGUGCUUCUUGAGCUUUUGAG